rnacentral:lncRNA from 1 species
AAAAAAAAAGUGCAUACAAAAAUAGAUCUUCUCUUAUUCUUACAAAACCCCAGGAGAUAACUUAAUCUCUCCAGAAAGCAAGCUGAGCAGUUCUUACUCUGUCUGGUGACAAAACCAAACCAAGCAAGAAAGCUUAAAGAAUGCCGUAAAGUGAUCACAGAAAAUACCGAUUCGCCACGGGGUGAAGGUAAGGCAGAAAAGACUGGCGCCGAAGGAAGGAACAGACUGUAGCAUAAGCCGAAAAAGGCGCGAAUGCAGAUCCGAAGGCGGUUGCGGCAAGGUGCGUCUGGUGGUAUCGUAUAUAAGAGAACUGCUGCAUUUAGGAGUGAUCUGUUCAUCUAACUUAAAAUGGAAUAAGAGAAGAAAGAGAAAGUACAGUAAAAUGGUACGCCCGGUUCACCAGGUUCUACCACUGCGGGGCCCAAUCAUACUCAAAAGAAGAGUUUGAUCCUGGCUCAGAAGGAACGCUAGCUAUAUGCUUAACACAUGCAAAUCGCAAAAAUGUUCGAUCAUCAAGCUUACACUCACUGAAAGCGGCAGGAAUCGAGGGGUUGUUGGAGCAUCCGGGGAGACUCGAGAAGGGUUCGAAUCCCUUUCCUCACGUUAGGUUAGUUUUGAAAAAAAAACGAACUCUUCGAUUUUAUGAACCAAGAAUGAUGAAUCAAAGAAAAGUGCCAAAGUUAUUUUUGAAGUUCUGUUUCACUUUCCUCUUCCUUUUUAUGAGUCGAUUGCUUUUCGAAUGGAGUCUUACUUGGGCAGCUGCGGUCUUUGUUCCAUGGAUCUCUUUUUAAAUUUCUGUCAUGGAUGGGCUGCCUCUUUCCGUCGGAGGAAGGGGUGCUAGCUCUUCGGGGCGACCCCCUAUUGAUCUGAAUCUUCCUCCUGCUCCGGAGCCUGCCUCAACCUCGGACCAGCCGCAGGAAGAGGUGGAGCUACGUCGUCAGAUGGAAGAGCAUCUUUUGGCUCGCUUAGUUGCCAAGUAGCCUCCGGGUUCGAAUCCGGAUCUGCUUUUAAAGCAAGCGCGGGAGACCGCUCAGCUGAAAAGGCAGAUCGUGGACCGUAUGCCGGAAUUGGAUCCCGACCACUCUUACUUUUGGCGAGAUCAGAGAUAUAGAAUCAUUACGGAUUCUAUUCUGACAAAUCGGGAACAAGCGGACUACGCGCCUCACCGUCUGCGACAGAUGCUCAAUGACUUGAGCAAACCCGAUUCACCUACUUUGAGGAAAAUGCUCAAAAUAAGAAAGCAUUUUCAGGAAAAAGUUUCAAAUAUUAAGUUAAGUCUUUCCUUUCUUUUAGUCGAGCAGCUCGGUCAGUCGAGUCCUAUGAGUAGAGAACGACAUAACAUAGGGCCCAGUACGAUUUUUCGAUGAAACUCAUAGCGCGUAACGUCAUAUGAGUGGUGGGACGUCUCCCCGGUGCUAUAUCACUCCACUCUUAUUAAAAAGUAUCGUAUGAGUGGAUUUUUCAUAAAGUCCUAAAAGUGACCAGGCCCGGCUGUGCUCACGCACUCACCCGUACGACCUGUCCUUUAUUCUCAUAUAAGAGAAGCAUCCCCGUGAGCACUCUUCUUUAAGGCCUACCACGCUUACGCCUUACUCAGUAGGCCCGGUAAUAGCUAUCCGUCUUUCUCUGCCCUGUCCUGCCUUAUCUUAUUUCACUCGAUCUACACUACCUCCAUGUAUGGAUAUUGGGUCAGCAUGGGAAUUCCGCUAUCGAAUGGGUUUCACUCAUAGCUGUAGGAGUUAAAAAAGCCUCCGUUCCUUGGCUUUCUACGGGAUGUUCCUUUCCUCGAUCGGUCUUUCUUUCUUCUGUUUUCUCUUAUUUAUCCUUUUUGACAUGCCACUUACAGGGAAAUGCUAUUUGCUACUUUUCCCAGAGGAAGGGGAACGAUCGGCCGUCCGUAUGGAAAGAGGAACAAGAGCAUAAAUCAGUAGUCACUCUGCUACUUAAAGAUAUUGCGUUUAAAU